rnacentral:rRNA from 1 species
GACGUAGGGCGCGAGCGUUGUCCGGAUUUAUUGGGCGUAAAGAGCUCGUAGGCGGCUUGUCGCGUCGAAUGUGAAAAUUCGGGGCUCAACUCCGAGCUUGCAUUCGAUACGGGCAGGCUAGAGUUCGGUAGGGGAGACUGGAAUUCCUGGUGUAGCGGUGAAAUGCGCAGAUAUCAGGAGGAACACCGGUGGCGAAGGCGGGUCUCUGGGCUGAAACUGACGCUGAGGCGCGAAGGCUAGGGUAGCAAACAGG